AGCAGCCGCGGUAAUUCCAGCUCCAAUAGCGUAUAUUAAAGUUGUUGCAGUUAAAAAGCUCGUAGUUGAAUUUCGGGAUCAAUAUGUUGGUCGUGCCUCGGUACGUACUAGCAUAUUGGUUUCUCCUUUCUGAAGAACCAUGAUGUCAUUUAUUUGGUGUCGUGGGGAAUCAGGACUGUUACUUUGAAAAAAUUAGAGUGUUUAAAGCAGGCUCACGCUUGAAUACAUUAGCAUGGAAUAAUGAAAUAGGACGUUUGAUUCUAUUUUGUUGGUUUCUAGGAUCGACGUAAUGAUUAAUAGGGAUAGUUGGGGGCAUUAGUAUUCAAUUGUCAGAGGUGAAAUUCUUGGAUUUAUUGAAGACUAACUACUGCGAAAGCAUUUGCCAAGGAUGUUUUCAUUAAUCAAGAACGAAAGUUAGGGGAUCGAAGACGAUCAGAUACCGUCGUAGUCUUAACCAUAAACUAUGCCGACUAGGGGAUCGGAUGAUGUU
rnacentral:misc_RNA from 1 species